ACCCCGCGCGAACAGAAAUUUCAGGUUUUCUCCCUAUUUGGACUGUCUUAGAUGUAGUUUGGUCUAAUUUUUAGAGUUUGUUCCCUAAAAUCUAUGCAAGAUUAUUAUUUUUUAUGCUUAAAUUUGAUUAGUCAAUUGUACAUUUUGCAUUAUAAGGAUGAAAAUAUAUGGGAAUUAGGUUAUCUGAAUAAACUCGACUAGUA
rnacentral:misc_RNA from 1 species